rnacentral:rRNA from 2 species
CCUACGGGAGGCAGCAGUAGGGAAUCUUCCGCAAUGGACGAAAGUCUGACGGAGCAACGCCGCGUGAGUGAUGAAGGUUUUCGGAUCGUAAAACUCUGUUGUUAGGGAAGAACAAGUACCGUUCGAAUAGGGCGGCACCUUGACGGUACCUAACCAGAAAGCCACGGCUAACUACGUGCCAGCAGCCGCGGUAAUACGUAGGUGGCAAGCGUUGUCCGGAAUUAUUGGGCGUAAAGCGCGCGCAGGCGGUUUCUUAAGUCUGAUGUGAAAGCCCCCGGCUCAACCGGGGAGGGUCAUUGGAAACUGGGGAACUUGAGUGCAGAAGAGGAGAGUGGAAUUCCACGUGUAGCGGUGAAAUGCGUAGAGAUGUGGAGGAACACCAGUGGCGAAGGCGACUCUCUGGUCUGUAACUGACGCUGAGGCGCGAAAGCGUGGGGAGCGAACAGGAUUAGAUACCCUGGUAGUCCACGCCGUAAACGAUGAGUGCUAAGUGUUAGAGGGUUUCCGCCCUUUAGUGCUGCAGCAAACGCAUUAAGCACUCCGCCUGGGGAGUACGGUCGCAAGACUGAAACUCAAAGGAAUUGACGGGGGCCCGCACAAGCGGUGGAGCAUGUGGUUUAAUUCGAAGCAACGCGAAGAACCUUAC